UUCAACGUGAGAGUUUGAUCCUGGCUCAGAGCGAACGCUGGCGGCAGGCUUAACACAUGCAAGUCGAGCGGGCCCUUCGGGGUCAGCGGCGGACGGGUGAGUAACGCGUGGGAACGUGCCUUCUGGUUCGGAAUAACCCUGGGAAACUAGGGCUAAUACCGGAUACGCCCUUUUGGGGAAAGGUUUACUGCCGGAAGAUCGGCCCGCGUCUGAUUAGCUAGUUGGUGGGGUAACGGCCUACCAAGGCGACGAUCAGUAGCUGGUCUGAGAGGAUGAUCAGCCACACUGGGACUGAGACACGGCCCAGACUCCUACGGGAGGCAGC
rnacentral:rRNA from 1 species